rnacentral:rRNA from 1 species
GCAAAACCGCAUGAAAAAUGUAAAGCGUUAUGUGGAUCGAACAUUAGUAGAGAAGCGUGUGAGCCAGCUGCCAAGAAAAGCCGCUAUUGUUUCAUAAGUACCCGUACCGUAAACCGACACAGGUGGAUGAGGAGAGAAUCCUAAGGCCGGCGGGAGAAGUGUUGUUAAGGAACUCGGCAAAAUGACUCCGUAACUUCGGGAGAAGGAGUGCCACAGAGAUGUGGCCGCAGAGAAAUGGCCCAAGCAACUGUUUAGCAAAAACACAGGUCUAUGCAAAACCGAAAGGUGAGGUAUAUGGCUGACGCCUGCCCGGUGCUGGAAGGUUAAGAGGAGAGGUUAGAGCAAUCGAAGCUUUGAAUUUAAGCCCCAGUAAACGGCGGCCGUAACUAUAACGGUCCUAAGGUAGCGAAAUUCCUUGUCGGGUAAGUUCCGACCCGCACGAAAGGCGUAAUGAUUUGGGCACUGUCUCAACAACACACCCGGUGAAAUUGAAAUACCAGUGAAGAUGCUGGUUACCUGCGCCAGGACGGAAAGACCCCAUGGAGCUUUACUCCAGUUUGAUACUGGGAUUCGGUACUGUCUGUACAGGAUAGGUGGGAGGCUAGGAAAUGGUGACGCCAGUUGCCAUGGAGCCAACCUUGGGAUACCACCCUUACAGUACUGGGAUUCUAACCUGCAGCCGUAACCCGGCUGGGGGACAAUGUCUGACGGGGAGUUUGACUGGGGCGGUCGCCUCCGAAAGAGUAUCGGAGGCGCUCAAAGGUUCCCUCAGAACGGUUGGAAACCGUUCGAAGAGUGCAAAGGCAGAAGGGAGCUUGACUGCGACACCGACGGGUGGAGCAGAUACGAAAGUAGGACUUAGUGAUCCGGUGGUAUAAAGUGGGAUUGCCAUCGCUCAACGGAUAAAAGCUACCCUGGGAUAACAGGCUUAUCACUCCCAAGAGUUCACAUCGACGGAGUGGUUUGGCACCUCGAUGUCGGCUCAUCGCAUCCUGGAGCUGUAGCAGGUUCCAAGGGUUGGGCUGUUCGCCCAUUAAAGCGGUACGCGAGCUGGGUUCAGAACGUCGUGAGACAGUUCGGUCCCUAUCCGGCGUGGGCGUAGGAUAUUUGAGAGGAGCUGUCCUUAGUACGAGAGGACCGGGAUGGACAAACCUCUGGUGUAUCUGUUGUUUUACCAAAGGCAUGGCAGAGUAGCCAAGUUUGGCAGGGAUAAACGCUGAAGGCAUCUAAGCGUGAAGCCCCCCUCAAGAUAAGAUAUCCCAUCUUCGGAGUAAGACCCCUUGAAGACUACAAGGUUGAUAGGCUUCAGGUGUAAGUGUGGUAACGCACUCAGCUGAGAAGUACUAAUAGGUCGAGGACUUAUCCUU